GUAACUGCGAGUGAAGCGGGAAAAGCUCAAAUUUAAAAUCUGGCAGUCUUUGGCUGUCCGAGUUGUAAUCUAGAGAAGUGUUAUCCGCGCUGGACCGUGUACAAGUCUCCUGGAAUGGAGCGUCAUAGAGGGUGAGAAUCCCGUCUUUGACACGGACUACCAGGGCUUUGUGAUGCGCUCUCAAAGAGUCGAGUUGUUUGGGAAUGCAGCUCAAAAUGGGUGGUAAAUUCCAUCUAAAGCUAAAUAUUGGCGAGAGACCGAUAGCGAACAAGUACCGUGAGGGAAAGAUGAAAAGAACUUUGGAAAGAGAGUUAAACAGUACGUGAAAUUGCUGAAAGGGAAACGCUUGAAGUCAGUCGCGUUAUCCAGGGAUCAGCCUUGCUUUUGCUUGGUGCACUUUCUGGUUGACGGGUCAGCAUCAAUUUUGACCAUUGGAAAAAGAUGAAGGGAAUGUGGCAUCUUCGGAUGUGUUAUAGCCCUUGGUUGUAUACAAUGGUUGGGAUUGAGGAACUCAGCACGCCGCAAGGCCGGGUUUAUACCACGUACGUGCUUAGGAUGCUGGCAUAAUGGCUUUAAUCGACCCGUCUUGAAACACGGACCAAGGAGUCUAACAUACCUGCGAGUGUUUGGGUGGAAAACCCGAGCGCGUAAUGAAAGUGAAAGUUGAGAUCCCUGUCGUGGGGAGCAUCGACGCCCAGACCAGACCUUUUGUGACGGUUCUGCGGUAGAGCAUGUAUGUUGGGACCCGAAAGAUGGUGAACUAUGCCUGAAUAGGGUGAAGCCAGAGGAAACUCUGGUGGAGGCUCGUAGCGAUUCUGACGUGCA
rnacentral:rRNA from 1 species